UCUGCUGCGAAAAGGCCAAUUAAAGCAGGUUCAUUGCUCCCAGCAAUACCUAGUGCUAUUUUUUAGACAUUCACAGCGCUGGCUCAGGAUCGAUAUCUUCAUCCUGUGUGCGUGUGUGUUUAAGAGAAUUGUUGUGAAUAUCUAACAGGAAAUUUGCUUUUUUCCUCCGAAUAUUUUAUGGGAGAAUCCUUGGUUCCAGUCAGAGGGGAAAGUGUGCUAAGAGAUGUUUCAGGUCCGGUCUGGCACUGUGCCAGCUUGCCAGCAUGCUAUUUUCUGCAAAGACUGCCAGGCUGCGUCCCGUUAAAUGCCCAUUGACGCAGAAUGG
ensembl:lncRNA